ACCGGAAGUAGUGUGGUGCAAGUGUCGGGGCAGUAGGGGGAGAAGCGAGAGGGUAUAGAUUCGGUUCUAGAGGCACCACGGCAUUCCCCGAGGUAGGCGGACGUUGCGGCUUGCGGUCUGUGCAGACUUUUGCGCGGCCCGGACUCCCGCUCACAACAGCCUGGAGGGAAAACGCUGGCCUCCGGGAUGCGCCUGAACGCCAGAGGAUAACAGUUUAGAGGGCCAAGAUGUUGUCCAACUUGAGGAUAUUUGCAGUGAAUCAUAAGAAAAUAUCCAGCUUGCACAUUUGUAAUAUGUAUUGCUCUAGAAUGAGAGCAAGUUUAAAACGAAUAAAGCCACUUGUGCCUCUUGGAAGAAGUUACAGUUCCCUGCCAGGUUUAAUAGGAAAUGAUAUCAAAUCUCUUCGUUCCAUCAUCAGUCCUCCUAUAGCUAAAAUCCGUAAUAUUGGAAUUAUGGCUCAUAUUGAUGCAGGCAAAACUACCACCACAGAAAGAAUAUUGUACUAUUCUGGAUACACAAGAUCACUGGGAGAUGUUGAUGAUGGAGACACAGUGACAGAUUUCAUGGCUCAAGAGCGAGAAAGAGGCAUUACUAUUCAAUCAGCUGCUGUUACAUUUGAUUGGAAGGGGUACAGAGUCAAUCUAAUUGAUACACCAGGUCAUGUGGACUUUACCUUGGAGGUUGAGCGCUGCCUGAGGGUGCUGGAUGGUGCAGUGGCUGUGUUUGAUGCCUCAGCCGGUGUAGAGGCACAAACCCUCACAGUAUGGAGGCAGGCUGAUAAACACAAAAUACCUCGAAUAUGUUUUUUAAACAAGAUGGACAAAAGUGGAGCAAGUUUUAAUUAUGCAGUUGAAAGCAUCAGAGAGAAGUUGAAGGCAAAGCCUUUGCUUUUACAGUUACCAAUUGGUGAAGCCAAAACUUUCAAAGGAGUGGUGGAUGUAGUAAAUAAAGAAAAACUUCUCUGGAAUGCCAAUUCAGAUGAUGGAAAAGACUUUGAGAGAAAACCCCUCUUGGAAAAGAGUGAUCCUAAAUUGCUGAAGGAGGCUACUGAAGCAAGGAAUGCCUUAAUUGAACAAAUUGCAGAUUUGGAUGAUGAAUUCGCUGACUUGGUUUUAGGAGAAUUUAGUGAAAAUUUUGAUUUGCUCCCAGCUGAAAAGCUACAGACUGCAAUACACAGAGUAACACUUGCUCAGACAGCAGUACCUGUGCUUUGUGGAAGUGCCCUGAAAAACAAAGGGGUCCAGCCCUUGUUAGAUGCUAUCACUAUGUACUUGCCUUCACCUGAAGAGCGCAACUAUGAAUUUCUGCAGUGGUAUAAGGGUGACUUAUGUGCACUGGCAUUUAAAGUUCUCCAUGACAAGCAGCGGGGACCGCUGGUGUUUAUGCGCAUUUACUCAGGCAUGAUAAAACCCCAGUUGGCCGUCCAUAAUAUUAAUGGAAACUGCACGGAGAGAAUAAGUCGUCUGCUUUUGCCAUUUGCUGAUCAACAUGUAGAAAUCCCUUCACUGACUGCUGGUAACAUUGCUUUGACUGUUGGACUUAAACAUACGGCCACUGGAGAUACCAUUGUCUCAUCCAAGUCCAGCGCACUAGCUGCAACUCGUCGAGCUGAAAGGGAGGGAGAAAAGAAGCAGAGGCACAACAGUGAAACAGAGAGACUUUUAUUGGCUGGGGUGGAGAUUCCAGAACCUGUUUUCUUCUGUACCAUAGAACCCCCUUCGGUAGCUAAGCAGCCAGAUUUGGAUCAUGCAUUGAAAUGCCUUCAACGUGAAGAUCCCAGUUUAAAAGUCAGGCUUGAUCCUGACUCUGGACAGACUGUCUUAUGUGGAAUGGGGGAGUUACAUAUUGAUAUUAUUCAUGACCGAAUCAAGAGGGAAUAUGGACUGGAAACCUAUCUAGGACCUCUUCAGGUGGCAUACCGAGAGACCAUCCUAAAUUCAGUUCGUGCUACAGAUACCUUAGAUAGAACUUUAGGAGAUAAACGGCACCUUGUGACUGUUGAACUGGAAGCAAAGCCAACUGAAACAUCAUCUGUUGUGCCAGCUAUCGAGUAUGCUGCAAGUAUUAGUGAAGACAUUUUGAAGGGCUCCCAAGAGGCCAUUGAAAAUGGAAUUCACAGUGCAUGCCUCCAAGGACCAUUGCUUGGAUCCCCAAUUCAAGAUGUGGCAAUUACUUUACAUUCACUGGUGAUUCAUCCUGGUACCUCCUCAACUAUGAUUUCUGCCUGUGUCUCAAGAUGUGUACAGAAGGCUCUGAAGACCGCUGAUAAGCAAAUUUUGGAGCCCUUGAUGAACCUGGAGGUCACCGUGACUAGAGACCACCUCAGCGCUGUCCUGGCAGAUCUGGCACAGAGAAGAGGGAGCAUCCAGGAGAUCCAGACUCGUCAGGACAACAGAGUUGUUGUUGGGUUUGUUCCUUUAGCAGAGACCAUGGGUUAUUCAACUGUGCUUCGAACGCUAACAUCAGGCUCAGCUACGUUUACCUUAGAACUCUCUAAUUACCAAGCCAUGAAUCCUCAAGACCAAAGCACGCUGCUCAACCGAAGAAGUGGCUUGACCUAAGUGCUUCGAGGUCCUUGGGGAGAAGUUCAGGAGCACCUACCUAUUCGUUUUUACUCUGUCUGCUGAGAGGGCCUAGAAGCAAUGAAUACACCUACAGCUCAGGUCUUGGUUUCAAAAUACAUUCACAAAGUAUUGCUUAGAGAAAAGUCUGAGUCCAGAACUGGGAAAGAGAAAAGGUUUAACUGAUUUGAAAUAAUGGACGAAGCCAGACUAAACUUUGAAUAAAGAAAAUUUAUCCACUAGACUUUUUUAUGGGGAUACAUAAAAGAUAACAUUUAUGGCACAAAAACAGCAACAGUGGACGAACUGAGGGCACACAAAUACCAAACGAAAUAAUUCUUGAUUAUUUGCGAUUCCAUUGCUUUGCAUUAUCAGCAGUGCCUGGACCAGAACGGUCAUCAGUGUGAAAACAGGCGUUGACCAAAAACAUUAUUCUUUUCUGUAGAUUCUUUUAAAUUUUGAAAAUGAACUGUAUGUUAAUAAACACUUUAUAAUCAUUCAACAUGUGUAUACAUUUUGGGGACACCCUGUAUAUAGUGUUAUACCUUUACCCUCUACAUAUUUUCUAAAAUCAAAGUCAAUUUUUUAAAAAAAAUCCUGUUGAUAUAAAUAAAGAUGUUUUAUUUCAUUGUU